UACGGGGAGGGCAAGCGUUGUCCGGAUUUAUUGGGCGUAAAGAGCGUGUAGGCGGCCAUGUAGGUCCGUUGUGAAAACUCGAGGCUCAACCUCGAGACGCCGAUGGAAACCAUGUGGCUAGAGUCCGGAAGAGGAGAGUGGAAUUCCUGGUGUAGCGGUGAAAUGCGCAGAUAUCAGGAAGAACACCCGUGGCUAAGGCGGCUCUCUAGUACGGUACUGACGCUGAGACGCGAAAGCGUGGGUAGCAAACAGG
rnacentral:rRNA from 1 species